UUCUCCUGACUGUGACCUGACCAGAAGCAGCAAGAUUAACGCGGGCUCAACCCAACUAAAUUACUUCUUGGAUCAACGUUACCAAGCUCCUUGAAGCAAUCUCCUAAUGAUAGAGUAUGCACAUCACAGUGUAAAGAAUGCAGUUUGGAACUUUAUAGCAGUAUGACAUCGACACCAGGAGGGAGAGCAUCGUGAGAAGCCUUGUCAUCGACCUCAAUGAAGACCCAGACUCUUUCUUCAAGGAGUAUCUGGCCUCUGCUUCUGAGGAUGCAGAGAGGGACAUUGCAAACACUGUCAUUGUAACACUCUGUUAAUGUUGUGUCUGUCUCCCCGGUGAUUGUUCAUUCCCUGCACCUGCCCUCAGCCUCUCCUGAUUGUUUCAUUCCCUGCACCUGCCCUCAGCCUCUCCUGAUUGUUUCAUUCCCUGCACCUGCCCUCAGCCUCUCCUGAUUGUUUCAUUCCCUGCACCUGCCCCAGCCACUCAUGUCUCAAUGAUCCCCAAUGCUCCACACCUGUGUCCCCCCCCCCCAUUAUAUAUUCUCCCAGUCUUUGCCUUGUCCCCUGCCACAUUAGUGUGUGUUUUGUCCCAUGUGCCGAUUCACCUACGACCAGUCCUUCUUUAAGUAAAAAUGUUUGUUUUGUGUCACUCAAACCUGAAGUCAGCCUGUUCUUUUGCACCUGAGCUUUACCUAUGUGAACCUGUGAUAGUCAUGGGGAUUUACAUCAUCCGAAGAGAUGGGGAGCCAGAGGACAUGGGAAUUGUGAUGGAAAGCAUUAAAGUCCUAAACGACGUUGACCGUGUCAUCGUGGCGUUCAUCGUGCUGGUUGGGCUCAUUUAUGCCCUUGAUCUAAGCUUCCCAGAAAACUUCAAGUACACCUUGAGUUCCUCCAGAAGGUCUUCAUGACUUCAGAUGGGCACAAGCUGAAUUCCAAGAUACAGCAGCUGAAAAUCAAGUUGUUUGCAUGAGGUGAACACACAGAGACAAAGUGCACUGUCAAGUUUCUUCUUUCUUUGAGUUAACUGGGUGUUUAUCUUUUACCAGUUGCUGAACUGUUACAGGAGAACCGUUUCCAGGGUAUUUGAUGAGAAACAACUCUUAAAAUGUUCUUAAAAAAUAAACAUGUUAAUACCGUUCUUCUGUGUAUUGAAGUUCAAUUGAGAUGUUUUGUCACUGACUUCCUGAUCAGUCCGUUUAUUAUUUUCUAAUUCUUACAUAUAUAUAUUUUAAAUGCAGUCGUACAAGUGAUUUAUUUCGGUCGUUUUGACAAUGUUAAACUUAUUUGCAAUAAAAACGUCAACUGUG